rnacentral:rRNA from 1 species
ACGAACGCUGGCGGCGUGCUUAACACAUGCAAGUCGAACGGAAAGGCCCUGCUUUUGUGGGGUGCUCGAGUGGCGAACGGGGGAGUAACACGUGAGUAACCUGCCCUUGACUUUGGGAUAACUUCAGGAAACUGGGGCUAAUACCGGAUAGGAGCUCCUGCUGCAUGGAGGGGGUUGGAAAGUUUCGGCGGUUGGGGAUGGACUCGCGGCUUAUCAGCUUGUUGGUGGGGUAGUGGCUUACCAAGGCUUUGACGGGUAGCCGGCCUGAGAGGGUGACCGGCCACCUUGGGACUGAGAUACGGCCCAGAAUGCUACGGGAGGCAGCAGUGGGGAAUAUUGCACAAUGGGCGGAAGCCUGAUGCAGCAACGCCGCGUGCGGGAUGACGGCCUUCGGGUUGUAAACCGCUUUCGCCUGUGACGAAGCGUGAGUGACGGUAAUGGGUAAAGAAGCACCGGCUAACUACGUG